UAGUACAUUCACAUUACAGCACCUGGACUUUCUUAUUACUAAAUAGAAUACGCAGAGAAUAACAGAUCUUUCAACAAUGGUGAGUGUCAUUAUGACAUAAAUCCGUCCAUAAAUCUGGCAUUUAAAGUUAAUGCCAACACAGAGACUACUAAACACUACAAUUUGCAUAGAUCCCCACAGAACCAUGUGACUGCUCACGUUUAGGCACAGGGUCUUCUCACUUACCAUUCACUACCCGUGGUAUAUGAUAAGCAGCAGCCACCUUCUCCAUAUGGAGGGAGAAGCCCGAAGAGGAGAUGCUGCAGGGAACUUCAGGAGAUGUUAAUCCUCAGGGUUACUGAUGCUUGUAUUAAGGAGAGCUGCUGAAUAAUAUUAUAUCAUGUGAAAUGACAAGAAUACAAGAAGAACUCACCAGCAAGAUACUCCAGAGCAGAAAUCGCUUUAAUAUCUUGUGUGGGGACUUGCGGUAACAAAGAAUAAUCUUCCCGGCCUGAAAAUCAAAAUAUAAAAGACAUUAUUUUUUCCAAACAGCACAGGAUCAAUAAUCAAUUUCCAUUGCAUUUAAUUACAUUUUA